AAAAAAAGGAAAAAUGGAAAUCUCUGUUUCGUCUAUGUUCUUCCGUAAAAUAAAGAAAACGAAAUCGAAAUUGAUGAUGAAUGGAGUAAUUAAUGGGUAAGAUGGGUAGGAAUUGAAGAAAUUCUGCUGACUUCAGUUUGAAUGGGUUAGGAAUUGAGUUCGACUUUCGAUUUCUAAAGAAGGGAUAGAGACGAAGAAGUGUUGCAAAGAAAGGGAACACUUGAAGAAGUUGAAAGAAGAGACGAAUAAUGAUAACUUGCUGUCACAACGACAACAAAAAGAGUUUCCUGAUUGGUUUAAGAAUCGGAUGUUUGAUUUGUGUUUUAUCAAUUCACCGGAACCUACUGACGAAUUGUAUUCAUUGGCUUUGGGGUUUGAGUUAAGAGCAAACUCAUAUUCAUCUUGCAACCUGAAUGGAAUUCGGUAUCAUACGAAACAACGUGAAGCUCGCCGAACAACCCAAAAUAGUGGAUUGGUAGUUGAUUCAGUAUUUGAAGGCAAGGAAAUUGAGUUUUAUGGUACAUUAUGUGAUGUUAUUGAGGUAGAAUACCUGAAAAAUUAUAGGGUUGUGUUAUUUAAGUGUGACUCUACGGAAUAAAAAUCUUAAAACAGAUUAUGAUUUGACAUGUUUAAAUGUGAGUAGUACCUGGUAUAAGAAUGACCCAUAUGUUAUCGCAUCGGACGCGCGACAAGUGUUUUACCUGGAUGAUCAUAAAUUCGGAGCAGGCUGGAAAGUGGUUCUAAAGAUGCAUCACAGACAUAUAUGGGAUGUGCCUGAAAUGGAUGAUGAUGAUGAAGAAGAAGAUGUUUAUCAACAGACUGGAGAUGUAACAGUAUCAUCAGUCAUACAAGAAGAUAAUAACGUUGGACUAGAUGAACUCCAUAGAGAUGAUGUGGAGGCAGAGUUGGUAGAUGCAGAGAUUGUACAUGCAGAUGAUAUUGACGUGGAUGAUGUUGAUGUCGAGGAAGAAGAUGAGACAUUAGUUGAUUAUAAUGACUCAGAGGUGGACGAGGAAGACAUUGAGCCAGUUGACGAUGAUACAGAUUUAGAGGAUUAGUUAUUUGCAUUUUAUUUACUAAAAAAAUAGUUGUUUGGUUUGGUAAUUAUUUUGAUUAGAACAAUAGCUCUUUAUCUUUCAAUGAUUCAGAGAUUGGUUUUUUAUUUUUAUUUUGAACAAAGGGAUUGGUUAUUUUUGUUGUCGGUUGGAUUUCAACAAUAUUCUUUGUCUCAGAUUCAAUUUUUUUUUCUAAUGCAGUAUGGGAAUCCACUUUCUUCAUGUGC